rnacentral:rRNA from 1 species
GCGCAGCAGUUGCGAAAACUUGUCAAUGCACGAAAGUGUGAACGGGCUACCCCGAGUGCCGUCCGCUGAGGAUGGCUUUUCUCUGCUGUAAGAAGGCAGAGGAAUAAGGAGAGGGCAAGUCUGGUGUCAGCCGCCGCGGUAAUACCAGCUCUCCGAGUGGUAGGGAUGAUUAUUGGGCUUAAAGCGUCCGUAGCUGGCCUUUCAAGUCUCUUGUUAAAUCCAGCGAUUCAAUCGUUGGACUGCGGGAGAUACUGCAGAGCUAGGGGCCGGGAGACGCAGAAGGUACUCCUGGGGUAGGGGUGAAAUCCUAUAAUCCUAGGGAGACCACCAGUGGCGAAGGCGUUCUGCGAGAACGGGCUCGACGGUGAGGGACGAAAGCCAGGGGCGCAAACGGGAUUAGAUACCCGCGUAGUCC